rnacentral:rRNA from 1 species
ACUCCUACGGGAGGCAGCAGUGGGAAUCUUAGACAAUGGGGGCAAGCCCUCGAUCUAGCCAUGCCGCGUGUGUGACGAAGGUCUUAGGAUCGUAAAGCACAUUUCGCCGGGGAAGAUAAUGACGGUACCCGGUAAAGAAACCCCGCGUACAUCCGUGCCAGCAGCCGCGGUAAUACGGAGGGGGUUAGCGUUGUUCGGAAUUACUGGGCGUAAAGCGCACGUAGGCGGAUUGAUAAGUCGGGGGUGAAAUCCCGGGGCUC